rnacentral:piRNA from 1 species
UGGAUCUCUGAACUGAGAGUCAGUCUGUC